CCUACGGGUGGCAGCAGUGGGGAAUAUUGCACAAUGGGCGAAACCCUGAUGCAGCGACGCCGCGUGAGUUAAGAAGUAUCUCGGUACGUAAAGCUCUAUCAGCAGGGAAGAAAAUGACGGUACCUGACUAAGAAGCCCCGGCUAACUACGUUCCAGCAGCCGCGGUAAUACGUAGGAGGCAAGCGUUAUCCGGAUUGACUGGGGGUAAAGGGAUCGUCGACGGCAGCACAAGUCUGGAGUGAAAUCCCGGGGCUUAACCCCGGAACUGCUUUGGAAACUGUGCGGCUUGAGUGCAGGAGGGGUAAGCGGAAUUCCUGGUGUAGCGGUGAAAUGCGUAGAUAUUAGGAGGAACACCGGUGGCGAAGGCGGCUGACUGGACUAUAACUGACGUGGAGGCUCGAAAGCGUGGGGAGCAAACAGGAUUAGAUACCCUAGUAGUC
rnacentral:rRNA from 1 species